AACUGCUGGAUACACCUGCAAACAAAGGAACCAAUCAGUGACCUAAACACUCAUAUCAUAAAUAGGUUGUGUCUGCGUUUGUACAAUAUCUUCUGUAUAUACAAUAUUUCAUUGAGUUUAGGUGGAUUCAUGUUAUUUUUGUUAAGAGAUCAUUUUUAAUUGUUUGAUCUUGUUUUUUACUGUGUCACUGUGUGCACUUGACCUUUGCUGCUGUAAUCCUGUGACUUUCCCCACUGCAGAACCAAUAAAGGCUUCUAUCUCUAUCUAUUAUUCCAUCUUCCAUAAAUCGUGCGCCCGUCAGGCUGAACUGAGGCCAAACGCAACAGGAUCCCGCUUAAUGCCGACAUCGGUAGCAGAUAGAGAAAAGGAUCCACUCCUCCAGUUCUGGCGCUCGGUACGACGCCAGGUAUUCCAGCAGGUCCCUCUUGAAGCAGGUCGGCGACUCGCCGGAGCCUUCGCCGGAGCCCUCUGGUAACCGUGGAAACACGGGGCUCAUCCACAUCCUGGUUUGGAAAUGAUAUAUUCAACGACCAGUGUCGUUGUCAGGUUGGUCAAACUCAUCCCCCCCCCAGGAGCUAAGACUGGAAAUCAUCCCCUUCUGCAGCGGGCAGACCCACCCUUGUGUUUUCUGGUACCAGUCGGCUCUGAUGAGGUUGGAGGUCAUAAUGAUGACUCUGAAGCCUUCCUCGUACCACAGCAACAUCAUCUUCCUGCACAAUGACACGCAAUUUUCUGCUUUAUAGGGAAACAACCAAGAGGCCGGUUAAAUCUGCAACGCACGUCUCGUCAGAAGAGAGCAGGUACGAAACCAGGCAGGGAAAGAAAAAGCUUACGUGUGGAAGCCAGUGUGUCCGAUGGUGGGGAGUCUGUACCUGGCAGAAGCUGAUAUGUGGAUACGGUGCAGCCUGCUGGAGCAGCCGGGCCUUGGCCUCCCUCUUAUCUCCGUGGACAAUCAGAAGCGGACGGUCCCUGC